rnacentral:rRNA from 1 species
CGCGUAGGUGGUUCGUUAAGUUGGAUGUGAAAGCCCCGGGCUCAACCUGGGAACUGCAUCCAAAACUGGCAAGCUAGAGUACGGUAGAGGGUGGUGGAAUUUCCUGUGUAGCGGUGAAAUGCGUAGAUAUAGGAAGGAACACCAGUGGCGAAGGCGACCACCUGGACUGAUACUGACACUGAGGUGCGAAAGCGUGGGGAGCAAACA